UAGUCGGAGAAUUUGGUUAGUUUUCCAAGAUUUACUUCUUCAUCAUGAGGGAUACUGAUUGUAUACUGUGUGCUAAAUUUGUCCUGGUCAUUUUUGAAAGUAAUCAAAAACUCAAGGAUCACGUGUUAGUGCAUAAAACUUUAGUGACUAUGAGUCAUGUUUUCAUCGAACCCACCCCAUCUGAAAAUCUCAUGGAGCCCUAAAUUAAAAAUACGGAGGGAUUGGCAAAGACAUAUAUAUCGAGCUGGAGGUUUUAAAAAAGAAUUUUUAGAAGCAAUGCCUUAAUGCUGUGUUUGCAAUUUAUUAAUACUUCAAAGUGAAUUAUUAAAGGUAUUAUAACAAGCUACUUCGAAAUUUGAUGGGUCAUUGUCACAAGAAGAUUGUGAAGUGUGGUGUGAAGUCUCUUUAUACAUUGUAUUAAUUGAAGCAAUACUAAAAACAACCAGUGACCUGAAGAAUAUAUCAGUAUCUGUGU